GAUGAACGCUGGCGGCGUGCCUAAUACAUGCAAGUCGAGCGAACGGACGAGAAGCUUGCUUCUCUGAUGUUAGCGGCGGACGGGUGAGUAACACGUGGAUAACCUACCUAUAAGACUGGGAUAACUUCGGGAAACCGGAGCUAAUACCGGAUAAUAUUUUGAACCGCAUGGUUCAAAAGUGAAAGACGGUCUUGCUGUCACUUAUAGAAGGAUCCGCGCUGCAUUAGCUAGUUGGUAAGGUAACGGCUUACCAAGGCAACGCUGCAUAGCCGACCUGUGAGGGUGGUCGGCCACACUGGACCUGUGCCGCGGUCCAGACUCCUACGGUAGGCAGCAGUAGGGAAUCUUCCGCAAUGGGCGAAAGCCUGACGUAGCACCGCCGCGUGGGUGAUGAGGGUCUUCCGAUCGUAAAUCUCUGUUAUUAGUGAAUAACAUAUGUGUAAGUAACUGUGCACAUCUUGACGGUACCUAAUCAGAAAGCCACGGCUAACUACGUG
rnacentral:rRNA from 1 species